GGAGGAUCCGAGCGUUAUCCGGAUUUAUUGGGUUUAAAGGGAGCGUAGAUGGAUGUUUAAGUCAGUUGUGAAAGUUUGCGGCUCAACCGUAAAAUUGCAGUUGAUACUGGAUAUCUUGAGUGCAGUUGAGGCAGGCGGAAUUCGUGGUGUAGCGGUGAAAUGCUCAGAGAUCAUACAGAACACCGAUUGCGAAGGCAGCUUACCAAACUAUAUCUGACGUUGAGGCACGAAAGCGUGGGGAGCAAACAGGAUUAGAUACCCUGGUAGUCCACGCAGUAAACGAUGAUAACUCGUUGUCGGCGAUACACAGACGGUGACUAAGCGAAAGCGAUAAGUUAUCCACCUGGGGAGUACGUUCGCAAGAAUGAAACUCAAAGGAAUUGACGAGAACUCAGCAGCCGCGGUAAUACCGAAACUCAAAGG
rnacentral:rRNA from 1 species